rnacentral:lncRNA from 1 species
AUGAUGCAUCCAAUCACAAAGAUCAUAGCCGUUGUGAUCAUCUCAAUGGUUUCUGGGGCCGCCACGGGUGCUGAUCCUCAAUCUCCCUACUGCAACAUCAUCCUCGACCACUUGAACCCUUGCCUUCCCUAUAUACUUCAAGGUGAGGUGAAGCCAGCCAAGGUUUGCUGUGAUGGUGUCCUGGGCCUCACACAGUAUACAAAUGCCAAGGGAGGCCAACAAAAUAUAUGUGACUGUGUCAAGGCUGCAGCAAUUUUGAUGGGGGCACCUGUUGAUAAUUUCUCUAAGAUUUCUUCUCUUCCCAAAAGUUGUGGCCUAUCGGUCACACUUCCACCCAUCUCUAGUGGCACCGAUUGUUCCCAG